AUUGAACGCUGGCGGCAGGCUUAACACAUGCAAGUCGAGCGAGCGGCGGACGGGUGAGUAAUGUCUGGGAAACUGCCUGAUGGAGGGGGAUAAAUACUGGAAACGGUAGCUAAUACCGCAUACCAUCGGAUGUGCCCAGAUGGGAUUAGCUGGUAGGUGGGGUACUGGCUCACCUAGGCGACGAUCCCUAGCUGGGCUGAGAGGGGGACCGGCCACACGGGAACUGAGAUACGGCCCAGACUCCUACGGGAGGCAGCAGUGGGGAAUAUUGCACAAUGGGCGAAAGCCUGAUGCAGCCACGCCGCGUGUGUGAAGAAGGCCUUCGGGUUGUAAAGCACUUUCAGCGAGGAGGCGUUACUCGCAGAAGAAGCAACGGCUAACUCCGUGCCAGCAGCCGCGGUAAUUC
rnacentral:rRNA from 1 species